GUCAGAGGGUGCAAACGUUGUUCGGAAUUACUGGGCGUAAAGCGUGUGUAGGUGGCUACGCAAGUCGGAUGUGAAAGCCCCGGGCUCAACCCGGGAAGUGCACCCGAAACUGCGUGGCUCGAGUACCGGAGAGGUUGGUGGAAUUCUCGGUGUAGAGGUGAAAUUCGUAGAUAUCGAGAGGAACACCGGUGGCGAAGGCGGCCAACUGGACGAGUACUGACGCUGAGACACGAAAGCGUGGGGAGCAAACAGG
rnacentral:rRNA from 1 species